AUUGAACGCUGGCGGCAGGCCUAACACCUGCAAGUCUGGCGAGCGGCGGACGGGUGAGUAAUGUAUGAGGAUCUGCCUGAUGGCGGGGGAUAACUACUGGAAACGGUAGCUAAUACCGCAAAACAUCAGAUGACCCCCUAUGGGCUGAGCUACUCGGUAAGGUAACGGGUUACCUAGGCGACGAUCUCUAGCUGGUCUGAGAGGUUGAGCAGACAGACUGGGACUGAGACACGGCCCAGACUCCUACGGGAGGCAGCAGUGGUGUAUAGUGCGCAAGGGGCGCAAGCCUGAGUCAGCCCUGCCGCGGGUAUGAAGAAGGCCUUCGGGUUGUAAAGUACUUGCCGGCGGGAGGCGUGACCGACCGAAGAAGCCCCGGCUAACUCCGUGCCAGCAGCCGCGGUAAUAC
rnacentral:rRNA from 1 species